rnacentral:misc_RNA from 1 species
AAGUCGUAACAAGGUUUCCGUAGGUGAACCUGCGGAAGGAUCAUUCUUGAAAAGCUUCUUAGCUUUCUAACUUGUGAACUGUAAACUGGCUUGGCGCUAACUUGGUUGGCUUAACAGCUAGCCGAGAGCGUCGAGCCGCCCUUCAUGUUAAUUGACUUAACCCGAUUGAAUAACUUUAAAUAAAAACAACUUUUAGCAAUGGAUCUCUAGGCUCUC